rnacentral:rRNA from 1 species
AACGCUAGCUACAGGCUUAACACAUGCAAGUCGAGGGGCAGCAGGAACUUAGCUUGCUAAGUUUGCUGGCGACCGGCGCACGGGUGAGUAACGCGUAUCCAACCUGCCCAUUACUCAGGGAUAGCCUUGCGAAAGUAAGAUUAAUACCUGAUGUUGUCAUAGAGUCGCAUGUUUCUUUGACUAAGGAAUUUUGGUAAUGGAUGGGGAUGCGUAACAUUAGGUAGUUGGUGAGGUAACGGCUCACCAAGCCCACGAUGUUUAGGGGUUCUGAGAGGAAGGUCCCCCACACUGGAACUGAGACACGGUCCAGACUCCUACGGGAGGCAGCAGUGAGGAAUAUUGGUCAAUGGACGGAAGUCUGAACCAGCCAAGUAGCGUGCAGGAUGACGGCCCUCUGGGUUGUAAACUGCUUUUAGUUGGGAAUAAAAAGAGGGACGUGUCCCUUAUUGUAUGUACCAUCAGAAAAAGGACCGGCUAAUUCCGUGCCAGCAGCCGCGGUAAUACGGAAGGUCCAGGCGUUAUCCGGAUUUAUUGGGUUUAAAGGGAGCGUAGGCGGAUUAUUAAGUCAGCUGUGAAAGUUUGCGGCUCAACCGUAAAAUUGCAGUUGAUACUGUUAGUCUUGAGUGUGCACAGGGAUGCUGGAAUUUGUGGUGUAGCGGUGAAAUGCUUAGAUAUCACGAAGAACUCCGAUUG